rnacentral:rRNA from 1 species
AUUGAACGCUGGCGGCAGGCCUAACACAUGCAAGUCGAGCGGAUGAAGGGAGCUUGCUCCUGGAUUCAGCGGCGGACGGGUGAGUAAUGCCUAGGAAUCUGCCUGGUAGUGGGGGAUAACGUCCGGAAACGGGCGCUAAUACCGCAUACGUCCUGAGGGAGAAAGUGGGGGAUCUUCGGACCUCACGCUAUCAGAUGAGCCUAGGUCGGAUUAGCUAGUUGGUGGGGUAAAGGCCUACCAAGGCGACGAUCCGUAACUGGUCUGAGAGGAUGAUCAGUCACACUGGAACUGAGACACGGUCCAGACUCCUACGGGAGGCAGCAGUGGGGAAUCUUGGACAAUGGGCGAAAGCCUGAUCCAGCCACGCCGCGUGUGUGAAGAAGGUCUUCGGAUUGUAAAGCACUUUAAGUUGGGAGGAAGGGCAGUAAGUGAAUCCCUUGCUGUUUUGACGUUACCAACAGAAUAAGCACCGGCUAACUUCGUG